rnacentral:misc_RNA from 1 species
UCCGGUUUGUCACCGGCAGUCUCCCUAGAGUGCCCUUGCGUAGCAACUAGGGACAAGGGUUGCGCUCGUUGCGGGACUUAACCCAACAUCUCACGACACGAGCUGACGACGGCCAUGCAGCACCUGUGUUCUAGUUCUCUUUCGAGCACGAAGCCAUCUCUGGCGACUUCUAGACAUGUCAAGGGUAGGUAAGGUUUUUCGCGUUGCAUCGAAUUAAACCACAUCAUCCACCGCUUGUGCGGGCCCCCGUCAAUUCCUUUGAGUUUUAAUCUUGCGACCGUACUCCCCAGGCGGUCAACUUCACGCGUUAGCUUCGUUACUAAGGAAAUCAAUUCCCCAACAACCAGUUGACAUCGUUUAGGGCGUGGACUAC